GGUAUAAGUCUUCGGAUUUAGAGACCGGCGCACGGGUGCGUAACGCGUAUGCAAUCUACCUUUUACAGAGGGAUAGCCCAGAGAAAUUUGGAUUAAUACCUCAUAGUAUAUAGACUCGGCAUCGAGAUUAUAUUAAAGUCACAACGGUAAAAGAUGAGCAUGCGUCCCAUUAGCUAGUUGGUAAGGUAACGGCUUACCAAGGCUACGAUGGGUAGGGGUCCUGAGAGGGAGAUCCCCCACACUGGUACUGAGACACGGACCAGACUCCUACGGGAGGCAGCAGUGAGGAAUAUUGGACAAUGGGCGCAAGCCUGAUCCAGCCAUGCCGCGUGCAGGAUGACGGUCCUAUGGAUUGUAAACUGCUUUUAUACGAGAAGAAACACUGCUUCGUGAAGUAGCUUGACGGUAUCGUAAGAAUAAGGAUCGGCUAACUCCGUGCCAGCAGCCGCGGUAAUACGGAGGAUCCAAGCGUUAUCCGGAAUCAUUGGGUUUAAAGGGUCCGUAGGCGGUUUAAUAAGUCAGUGGUGAAAGCCCAUCGCUCAACGGUGGAACGGCCAUUGAUACUGUUAAACUUGAAUUAUUAGGAAGUAACUAGAAUAUGUAGUGUAGCGGUGAAAUGCUUAGAGAUUACAUGGAAUACCAAUUGCGAAGGCAGGUUACUACUAAUUGAUUGACGCUGAUGGACGAAAGCGUGGGUAGCGAACAGGAUUAGAUACCCUGGUAGUCCACGCCGUAAACGAUGGAUACUAGCUGUUGGGAGCAAUCUCAGUGGCUAAGCGAAAGUGAUAAGUAUCCCACCUGGGGAGUACGUUCGCAAGAAUGAAACUCAAAGGAAUUGACGGGGGCCCGCACAAGCGGUGGAGCAUGUGGUUUAAUUCGAUGAUACGCGAGGAACCUUACCAAGGCUUAAAUGUAGAUUGACCGGUUUGGAAACAGAUCUUUCGCAAGACAAUUUACAAGGUGCUGCAUGGUUGUCGUCAGCUCGUGCCGUGAGGUGUCAGGUUAAGUCCUAUAACGAGCGCAACCCCUGUUGUUAGUUGCCAGCGAGUCAUGUCGGGAACUCUAACAAGACUGCCAGUGCAAACUGUGAGGAAGGUGGGGAUGACGUCAAAUCAUCACGGCCCUUACGCCUUGGGC
rnacentral:rRNA from 1 species